CUCACCGGGGCCGACAGCAAUAUGUAGGUCAGGUUAAAGGUCUUACCUGAAUCGCUGAGAGGAGGUGCAUGGCCGUCGUCAGUUCGUACUGUGAAGCAUCCUGUUAAGUCAGGCAACGAGCAAGACCCGUGCCCACUGUUACCAGCAUAUCCUUUAUGGAUGAUGGGGACUCUGUGGGGACCGCUGCUGCUAAAGCAGAGGAAGGUGCGGGCUACGGUAGGUCAGUAUGCCCCGAAUCUCCCGGGCUACACGCGGGCUACAAUGGUUGGGACAAUGGGUAUCUACUCCGAAAGGAGUUGGCAAUCUCUUAAACCCAAUCGUAGUUCGAAUUGAGGGCUGUAACUCGCCCUCAUGAAGCUGGAAUCCGUAGUAAUCGCGUUUCAACAUAGCGCGGU
rnacentral:rRNA from 1 species